CCUGGCUCCAAAGGAGAGCAGAGGGAAGACAAGAGGCUCGCUCCUCUUUGUCUUUGCAGCUUGUCUGAAAUGGCUCAGGCUUUCAACCUUUACUUCAGUUGGCUGAAGUAAGGCAUGCCUUGUGCAUUAGAUAAAUGAACCAGGAAGAACAGAUAACUCCUUGAUUUGGGAUCCAUUCUCUGACAGGAGCAAAGGACAAACGAUCCUUCUUGGAGCAGAUCUUUAUCCUGAAAAGUGCUAGACACUGAUCUUCAUCCAGCAGCAAAGCAUCCAAAGACUGUGAUGAAUGAUGUCUGGAGAGCUCAGCACCUAGCAGGAGGGAGCUUAUAGUGAGCAGGAGACAAGAUCACGGCUGCUAGAAACGAGCAGGCUGUUACACUGCAUGGUUCAGUUAACAG